AGAUGAAGCUCUUGAGCAUGCUGGUUCAGUUCUUUCAGCACUAAGUGAGAAGCUAUAUGUGAUAAAGGGGGUUUGUGGAGUUGGAUUUCAUAUAGCAUCUGCUGCUGAAGCAAUGGCCUUAAUUUGGAGCUCGAUUGGGAUUGGAUUCAAGAAUCUUUUGUAUCGACAAAAGAUGGUGAAGGAACACCUUGGUAUAUGAAAUCUUCCUGCUUUAUUGGUUGUUAUCCAUGUAGCUUCAUCACUCCCUUGUAGAGUUAUAACAGGUCCAAUGGGUUGCAUUUAAGUUAUGUCAGGUCAAAUGGUUUAGACUAUAAGAUAUAAAAUAUAGUUAACAAUCAAACUGGUCAAAUGGGUAAAAUGGCAAAAAGUGUUGGCGGCCCAACCCAAAAUUUACAUUCUAUGAUUGAUAGUUUUCUGUUGACAUUUUGAUCCGAGCCCAUUUUAACCCGUUGCCCACCCUCAUCUCACCACAUUUACAUUCUAUGACUGAUAUUGUUGACUUAUUGGAUGUGCAUGCCGACAAGAGUACAAGAGUACAUUUCACCGUUUCGACAAGUUUAAUCUAAAGUACAACCCUUGUGGACAGAGUCGACUCAGAUAGAACUUCUUAAAGAAAGACAAUUUGAUUCAAGGUCGUUUCUUGGGAGAAUUAACGAAUCAAGUUUUAUCCGAUCUUGAUGCAAGUAAAUACCAGGUGGCGGAGUAUAGGGUGUCGAUAUACGGAAGGAAGUAAAGCGAAUGGGAUCAGUUGGCGAGUUGGUUCAUCAACAAUUCAAUUUAUAGUGAAAAUGUCGUUUUGACCCAAACCAACUUUGUCGAAUUUGUAACUGUUGUUGUACAUCCAUGCAGACAGAACUUUUGACCCGAGUGCUUUCACAGCCUCAAAGAGAGUUCUUAUCCACUUGGUGUUCCUAUGAUUGUGAGCCUGCUGAAGAGGAUAUUGUUGUGUAUUUUAAUCUCACAUUUGCAGCUGGACAUGUAUUGGGUUUGGCCUCAGAAUUCAACGUCCAACAUUCUACUUGGAGUAACUGUCAGGCUCCUCAAACGCCUUAUGCAAUUCAGUGGUCACCGUUACUGGUCCAAGUUCUAUCCAAUCUCUCAUGUUAUUACCCCGAAGGUUCUGAAUUUCUGUUUCUAGAGACAUCUGGUGGGGUUGCGUCUGGCCGUUUGCUGCUUCUGAUGGGGCUGCUGCUGCAUCUGAUCUGUUUGCUAACGUUUAUUAUGAUCAGAUAGCUAAAGAAAAAGCUGGCCUUGAGGCCCAAAUUGAGAAGUAGCAGCAGAAAGUCAGGAAAGAAAUGAAGAAACGGGUCCCAAGAUUGAGAAGAAGAGUGGCGAUGGUGGUGGGAUGAGGGUAAGUUUCAAUAAAAAGGAACACAACAACAGCUUAAACAACAAGUUAAGGAGUAUAAGGAUUAUGAGAGUAAUGGCGUUGGAUUAGACGAAUUUGAUCGAUUAAUGGAAAGGGAUUGUAGAUGUAACAUAUUUGAAUGAGAAUUUGAUGGGGUUUAUUGCUGUGAUCUGCGUGUUUGUUGAGGUGAGAGAGGAGAGAGGGUGUGUAAAAGGAAGAACAUGAAUGUGGAAUGUGAAGAGUGGGUCUCACAUACGAGUUAUUGUCUUUUAUCGUCGCCAAAUUAUCGGUUUUGAAAGUACUAGGUGGGAUGAAAGGAAUGGCAGGUCUACUAUGGGAAACAUCCUUACUUGACCCAAAUGAGGGAAUUCGCUUUCGUGGUUUCUCUAUAACCGAAUGCUAGAAGGUAUUGCCAGCUACAAAGCCUGGUGAAGGGCCAUUACCGGAGGGUCUUCUUUGGCUUCUUUUGACCGAAAAGGUGCUGUCUAAAUAACGAGUGGAUGCUUUAUCCUCAGAAUUACGCAGUCGUGCCAUUAUCCCAGAUCAUGUGUAUAAAGCUGUUGAUGUGUUAACAACAUCCAAUGACUCAGUUUACAACUGGUGUUAUGGCUCCUCAAGUAAUUGUACUUGUGAUUGUUCCAUCCAUUUCCCUUUUAAAGGGUCAAUCUGGGUUAUGUUUUCCCAUUUAGUAUAUUAAUAUCAGACUUCAAUAGCUUGAGUCCUUUUUAUUACAGGUACAAAUUGAAUUCUCAAAUGCAUAUGAGAAUGGAAUUCAUUAAUCCAAGUAUGUAUCUUCUCAUAUUUAUAUUUGUUAGCAACAAGUAAUUCUUUACUAGGUAGUCAAAGUCGUAAGGUGCGAAAGGCCCGCCUGCCAAAAAGCACACACCCGAGACAAAUAAAGCGCAAUAUUAGAAAAUAGUAUGUGUGUUUGUAAUAGGGAUGGACAAUUGAGUCAGGCUCUGCCUCUGGUUAUUGCAUAUUCAUCUUUUGCGAUAAUUGGGUGUGGUCUUGGUUAUGAGCAACAAAGAAAGAGGAUGGACCCUACUACAAAUGAACUGUUGGUUACAAAUUGCACCCAUGAUUUCAUUGGUACCCUUGAUUACAUCUUUUACUCAGCCACCACCACCAAUUCUUUAUAAUUUCCGAAACUGCUUGUAUGAUCACCAAAUUGGAGGUUAGGGGUAUUGAUGCUUUCCAUCUAAGGCAAGUUUAAAUUUCCGUUCCUUCAUUUAACAUAAUUGGAGGUUGGGGAUAUUGAGCUUUACUAUAAUCUUGUAAGAUCAUGAUAUUUAUGAUCAAUGAUUGAUUAGCUGUUGAUAUAUUGACAUUUUGUGAUAGUUUAAUUUCACCACUAAUAUUUCAAUUUU